rnacentral:rRNA from 1 species
AACGAACGCUGGCGGCAUGCCUAACACAUGCAAGUCGAACGAAGGCUUCGGCCUUAGUGGCGCACGGGUGCGUAACGCGUGGGAAUCUGCCCUUUGCUUCGGAAUAACAGUUAGAAAUGACUGCUAAUACCGGAUGAUGUCGCAAGGCCAAAGAUUUAUCGGCAAAGGAUGAGCCCGCGUAGGAUUAGCUAGUUGGUGGGGUAAAGGCCUACCAAGGCGACGAUCCUUAGCUGGUCUGAGAGGAUGAUCAGCCACACUGGGACUGGGACACGGCCCAGACUCCUACGGGAGGCAGCAGUGGGGAAUAUUGGACAAUGGGCGAAAGCCUGAUCCAGCAAUGCCGCGUGAGUGAUGAAGGCCUUAGGGUUGUAAAGCUCUUUUACCCGGGAUGAUAAUGACAGUACCGGGAGAAUAAGCUCCGGCUAACUCCGUG